rnacentral:rRNA from 1 species
AGAGUUUGAUCCUGGCUCAGAUUAAACGCUGGCGGCAUGCCUUACACAUGCAAGUCGAACGGUAGCGCGGGGCAACCUGGCGACGAGUGGCGAACGGGUGAGUAAAGCAUCGGAACGUGCCCUGGAAUGGGGGAUAACGUAGCGAAAGUUACGCUAAUACCGCAUAUUCUGUGAGCAGGAAAGCAGGGGAUCGCAAGACCUUGCGUUCUGGGAGCGGCCGAUGUCGGAUUAGCUAGUUGGUGGGGUAAAAGCCUACCAAAGGCGACGAUCCGUAGCGGGUCUGAGAGGAUGAUCCGCCACACUGGGACUGAGACACGGCCCAGACUCCUACGGGAGGCAGCAGUGGGGAAUUUUGGACAAUGGGCGGAAGCCUGAUCCAGCCAUGCCGCGUGAGUGAAGAAGGCCUUCGGGUUGUAAAGCUCUUUCGGUGGGGAAGAAAUUGCACGGGUUAAUACCCUGUGUAGAUGACGGUACCCGACUAAGAAGCACCGGCUAACUACGUG